GUCCUGUGGCAGCUGCGACAAAUUCCUUGCCAUACUUGGCUGCAAACAGCAUCUGAACUUGCAGCAAUUAGGGCAGAUCAACACAUCUCGGAGCAGCAAAGCAAAUGCCAGAUAUAGCUUCCUUCAGGAAGGCGGACAACUAUGCGCUCGCAGAACAAUUCGAUGAUCUCCUGUGCCGCCAUCAUGUUCGCUUCCCGAAAAAUAUGCUCCACCUACAAGGUAAUACCAAUUUUUUUUUUUUGAGAAACAAGUAUUAGUCCAAAUUUGAACCUCACACCUUACUUCCGAAAUCGCAUGAAGUAAUUCAUUCA